rnacentral:rRNA from 1 species
AUGAUGUUUUGGGAGGGCACCUCUUCCUCGCGGAUUCUUCUUAACGGCGUCGCUGGCAGCCCCAUCAUCCAUGGCCAGGGUCUCCGACAGGGGGACCCUAUAUCCCCCUUGCUAUUUGUGCUCGCGAUCGACCCACUCCAAAGAAUUCUUGAGAUGGCGGCAACUACAGGGCUAUUUCAUAAAAUCCGUGGCCGUGGGGUUCUUUUACGAACCUCCCUUUAUGCGGACGACGCGGCGGUCUUCAUGGCACCCAUCAAGCGCGAUAUUGACCACCUCUCCAACAUCCUUCGUCUUUUUGGCGAUGUCAUCGGUCUAGCCACCAACUUUCACAAGAGCUCGGUCAUCCCAAUCCGUUGUGGGCACAUCAACCUGUCGGACAUCCUUCAAAACCUUCCGGCGGUGCGCGGAUCCUUCCCCAUGAAAUACUUAGGCCUCCCGCUCUCUGUGCGGCGGCUCAGGAAGGUGGACUUUCAGUUCUUGGAGGAUAAGGCGGCGGCAAAGUUGGUCCCUUGGGACGGGCAAAACAUCACGUCUAUGGGACGCACCGCCUUGGUCAAGUCGGUGCUUGCCUCCCAAGCCAUAUACUUCAUCACUACGCUCGUCCUCCCCACAAGCACCCUCAAAAAUCUCAACAAGCUUGAGCGAGCGUUCCUUUGGGAGGGAACAGACAAGACCACCGGGGCCAAAUGCAAGGUUAAUUGGGACACCGUUUGCCGCCCAAUUGCUAAUGGGGGUCUUGGAGUGCUAAACACGGAGAAAUUUGCUAGGGCACUGAGGAUUCGUUGGAUUUGGUUUGAGUGGAAGGAGCCAACUAAGAUGUGGGUUGGCAUGGGCAACCCGUGCGAUAACGCAGACUACAACUUCUUCUAUGCCUCCUCAACUAUUAUUGUGGGAAAUGGCGCGCGCACCCCCUUUUGGGACUCUCCGUGGGUGCACAACCGCAAACCCAUGGAUUUGGCCCCUCUCAUCUACGCGGCGUCAACGAGGAAGAAUUGGAAGGUGCGGGAAGCACUAAAGGAUGGCGCUUGGGUUAAAAAGAUCAAGAUGACGUCCGAUUUUUCUAUAGAGCACUUCAGACAAUUUCUCGAGCUUUGGGCCACCAUCCGGGAUUUUCACCUACAGGAGGAUAUUGACGACGACAUUGUUUGGAAGCAUUCUACUAGUGGCCUCUACACGGCGGAGUCCGCCUACAAAGCGCAAUUUCUCGGCCUCAUUCGCUCUCCCUUGGAGCAUGCAGUGUGGAAAAUUUGGGCUCCACCCAAGGUCAAGUUCUUUGCUUGGCUGGCCAUCCAAAAUAGAGUCUGGACUGCGGAUCGUUUGGCCAAGCGCGGUUGGCCUAACUGUGGCUCAUGCCCCUUAUGCAUGCGUGAGAAUGAAUCGGUUGACCAUCUCUUCUUCAAAUGUCGUUUCACCAUUCGCCUAUGGGGCUUGGUCAAGGCGUGGCUACAACUCAUUCACAUUGACACCUCUACUUGGCCCCUGAGGCAUUCCACCUUAGAAUGGUGGCUUGGGUUGACUGAUGCUUCCGUCCCCAACCGGAAGGCCAUGGCCUCGCUCACCAUGCUCACUACAUGGACGAUCUGGAACGAGCGAAACGCUCGUGUAUUCCGCAACAUGGCAGCUCCGCCUACGGUUCUUCUCGACAACAUCAAAAGGGAGGCAUCAUUUUGGGUCGCCGCCGGAGCUAAGAAGCUAGGGUCCAUCAUGCCGGGAGAGUGA